ACACACCGGCGAUAUCUCAGCACAUGGUAAACGACCGCCUGUGUAAAACUGGACGCCGGGUUGAUUCGAGUAGACCUCCAAAAAGCUGCGUGAGCCACGUUAAUUAUUGCAUUUGCAGAGUACAAUUCGUUGCAAUCCGAAUUACACUAUUGUGAACCUUACCGACCGCUUCUCGGAUGGACCGCCUGAGCGACGUACCCGCUUCUUCCGUGCCAAUUGGACGUCACGCAGAAGUUGUGGUCGUACCCUUCCCCCGGGGGAACCUGCAGCUCACAGAAAUUCAAAUUGCGGUACACGCAGGUCCAUGAUCGUUCCCCCGACUUCCCGGAUGUCGCCAGUUGGCAACGGGUCCGUGUAAUCCGCGAAGGUCCAGCGAUCGCUGUUCAACGUGAUCCUGUGCUUCAGCAGUUCCUCCUUACCGGCGUCCUGCAUUAUAUUAUCGAUUACGUGUCCAGCGAGAUUGAACAAUGAACCGUGCGAGAUGUUCACUAUCGUGGGCUUCGUCGUGGUGGCUUGAAUGCUUAUCUCCAGC